rnacentral:rRNA from 1 species
AUCUGAAAUCAGGCAAGAGGACCCGCUGGAUUUAAGCAUAUAACUAAGCGGAGGAAAAGAAACUAACAAGGAUUCCCCUAGUAACGGCGAGUGAAGAGGGAAGAGCUCAGAUUGUUAAUCUUUGGGGGGCCUCCCCUCAGAGAGUUGUAGUCUGUCGAGCCAACUACCAGCAACGGCCCAGGGAGAAUUCAUCUGGGAAGGUGGAUCAUAGAGGGUGAUAAUCCCGUCUGUGCCUUGGAGACCGUUGUGUACGGUAUGGCUUCAAAGAGUCGAGUUGCUUGGGAAUGCAGCUCUAAGCGGGUGGUAAGUUCCAUCUAAAGCUAAAUAUUGGCAAGAGACCGAUAGCGAACAAGUACAGUGAUGGAAAGAUGAAAAGAACUUUGAAAAGAGAGUUAAACAGUACUUGAAAUUGUUGAAAGGGAACCGCUUGGAACCAGUGCU